AGUGAACGCUGGCGGUAGGCCUAACACAUGCAAGUCGAACGGCAGCACAGUAAGAGCUUGCUCUUACGGGUGGCGAGUGGCGGACGGGUGAGGAAUACAUCGGAAUCUACUUUUUCGUGGGGGCUAACGUAGGGAAACUUACGCUAAUACCGCAUACGACCUACGGGUGAAAGCAGGGGAUCUUCGGACCUUGCGCGAUUGAAUGAGCCGAUGUCGGAUUAGCUAGUUGGCGGGGUAAAGGCCCACCAAGGCGACGAUCCGUAGCUGGUCUGAGAGGAUGAUCAGCCACACUGGAACUGAGACACGGUCCAGACUCCGGCGGGAGGCAGCAGUGGGGAAUAUUGGACAAUGGGCGCAAGCCUGAUCCAGCCAUACCGCGUGGGUGAAGAAGGCCUUCGGGUUGUAAAGCCCUUUUGUUGGGAAAGAAAAGCAGCAGGUUAAUACCCCGCUGUUCUGACGGUACCCAAAGAAUAAGCACCGGCUAACUUCGUG
rnacentral:rRNA from 1 species